ACUGCAGGCCAUUCUAUCGCUGCUUUUUCUUAAUUGGAAAGGGAGAGGAAAGUCCGGGCAACAUAGAGCAUCCCACUUCCUAACAGGAAGGUAUUGUAGCAAUACAGUAACAGAAAGUGCCACAGAAAACUAUACCGCUAUUUUGCUUGCAAAGUAGUAAGGGUGAAAAUGUGAGGUAAAAGCUCACAGCAUGGAUUGGCAACAGUUCAUGCGGGUAAACCUUGGGAGUUGAAAGACCAAAUAAGCCGAAGCUUGAGAACGGCUCGUUCAAUUUCGGUGGGUAGGUUGCUUGACCCUUUCGGUGACGAAAGGGCUAGAUAAAUGAUAGAAAAUAUUCUGAACGUGUUUCAGAAUAGGUACAGAACCCGGCUUAUUCGCCUGCUUUUUUA
rnacentral:RNase_P_RNA from 1 species